UUGAAAUCUCCACAUGUGUAAUGACGUAAACAACUGUUUAGAAAUAUCCAGGCUAUUUCCUUUGAAUCCGCUCAACUUCCUGUUGUUUGAAUUAAUUGCGAUUGCAUUGUGGUUGUCGAGAGGGUGCUAUAAAAGCAAAACGGCUUCAAUUACGCUCGUCUUUGACCACAGAACCAGUCUCGACUUAUGAAACUAAUUACAUUUGCAUAGCAAUGAGGCUAUAAAUUGUUAUAAAAAGGGCAAGUUUUUAGUGUUUUUAGAAGUUUCGUGUUGGUGAGGUGGCAUGCCGGCGGCUAUUAGCCGCCGCUGACCCGCGAUAUGCAAAUGUAUCGCGGAUUAGUCGAUCGAUUUUCCUGCUACCCCCACGACUGACCACUAGAAAAUAGAAUGCACGAUACGGAAUUACUUCACACAAAUUAAUUAUAAACACAGCGAUUUCUAGCGAGACAACAGGAUAAUCAAAUCGCCGGGAAUCGCUGAUUUACUUACCUCCAUUCUUCAAACAAGGUGUAAUAAUAGGAUUAUUGUCGUUGUGUUGAUUUGCGCAAGUUCAUUUCGGAGCUUUCCUCCAACGAGAUCAAAGGGACCAAACCAAUGGCGUUCAAGGGAUCGACGCCCUGUUUGCGCAGCAUCCCUUUUAUCUUGCUGUUCUCACGUUUUUUUGCUUUUAUUUUAAUAAAUAAAGCUCAUUUUCUCAAAUUA